rnacentral:rRNA from 1 species
UACGUAGGGUGCAAGCGUUAAUCGGAAUUACUGGGCGUAAAGCGUGCGCAGGCGGUUUUGUAAGACAGGUGGGAAAUCCCCGGGCUUAACCUGGGAACUGCAUUUGUGACUGCAUAGCUAGAGUACGGUAGAGGGGGAUGGAAUUCCGCGUGUAGCAGUGAAAUGCGUAGAUAUGCGGAGGAACACCGAUGGCGAAGGCAAUCCCCUGGACCUGUACUGACGCUCAUGCACGAAAGCGUGGGGAGCAAACAGG